AUUGGCCAAUUGGGGCCAAGCUAUGGCAGACUCUGGAGAGAGUCAAGAGAUUCAUUAGUAUCUUUUUAGCCUUCUUAUUUUUGCACAGGUUCAAGUCAAGGAUUGGACCCUCUUCCCUGUCAAGCCUUAACAGAGCCAUUACUGACCUCUGGUGACUGCACACACUGCUACAAUGAAUUGCUGCCUCCCUCAAGAGUCCUUUAAAAGAACAUCCAAGAUGAUCAGUAAGCAGAGGUGAGACCUUCCACCAACAUGGGAAAGCACUCCUCACACAGGCAGAGAACUCAGUUUUACAACAGAAGUCAGUCCAAUACUGCAGCUGAAAGGAAAGUACUAUAUGG